UUGGUGCAGCACGCAGUGGAUUACGCUGCGUGUGUUUAGGACUGUGUUUUAUUUCUGUUGUUUGGGUGGGUGGCCCACCUGGCCCCCAUCUGCCCCCGCCCAGGCUGUGAGCGAGUGCUGCUGUGCUGGGCCUGAAGCCCCUUGCCUGGACUUGAGUUGAAGACACCGACAGAAGAAGACGUCUGACAGACUUUCUCCACCUUCUUUGAUCUCCCUCUGUUUUCUUGGGCUUUUUCCAAUUAUGCUAUGUGGACUGCAAACUGGAACUCUCGAAGAGAUUGCCAGAGGCUGAUGUCUUCCUAAUUGGUGACCUGCAAAGAGUCCAGUAUACUCGGAACGGAUUCAAGCGCUGAGAUGAUUUGUGUUAUCCAAGGGUGAAACAACAACAGAACUUUGGGCUAUUAAGAAGCUUUGCAUCCUGUAUUUCCGUCUGCAAAAUUGCAUAUAAAAUGACAUAAAACUGCUCAGUUAUGAUGCAAAUGGACCACAAGAUAAAAAUACAAGCUGCUCGUCUUGGAGUUUUCCAUCAACAAUGAUGUACUUACAUUUGCAUAUGGCAAUUGCCCUGCACUUCAGCUAUCAACAUACUCUGGUGUGAUGGAUUCAUUCAAACUUUCCAUAUUCUUCUGAGCACCCUGUGCAUUGUCAAUGGCUUUUGUGCACAAAGCAAAAACAAAGGAGAUUUCAACCAAAACAAGGGCAUGGACCCUGCCCCUAAUGAGAGGUAAACAACCCUGUAGGGAAAGGGAGAGACCACCCACACAAGGUUACCCAUGCCCUUAAAGUAGCUCAUGAAACAACAUGUUGGGAAAUAAAACUAAAUGUGCAUAA